CCAGGGGAAGUUUCAUAUAUGCUCAGCUCUGAACACAUAAGAUGCUUGUCUGCUUUGAUAAAGUUCCCUGUGAUUCCCAAUCCUGUGACCUACGGAUUCUCUUUGAUGUAUAUGUCUGAUGUCCUCCCUGUAAGUUACCCCCCACCAUCCUGCUCAUGGCUGUCAACACCUGCCAGGUCCUCUGCCACAAGACAGUGCACUGACAAUGUUUUGCCAGAGAAUAUUGAUGCUUGGACAUUUAAAUCAAUUAAUGCA